rnacentral:rRNA from 1 species
GGUGGUAAGAGCAAGAAGGCAACACCUGUAACCAUUCCGAACACAGAAGUUAAGCUUCUUUACGCCGAGAGUAGUUGGUGCGUGAGUACCUGCGAGGGUAGGAAGCUGCC